GCCGAAAAGGCAGACUAAUACCUUAUGUUCUUCACUGACGGCAUCAGAUGUGAAGUAAAGAUUUAUCGGUUAUGGAUGGGGAUGCGUCUGAUUAGUUAGUUGGCGGGGUAACGGCCCACCAAGGCAACGAUCAGUAGGGGUUCUGAGAGGAAGGUCCCCCACAUUGGAACUGAGACACGGUCCAAACUCCUACGGGAGGCAGCAGUGAGGAAUAUUGGUCAAUGGGCGAGAGCCUGAACCAGCCAAGUAGCGUGCAGGACGACGGCCCUAUGGGUUGUAAACUGCUUUUGUAUGGGGAUAAAGUCAAUCACGUGUGAUUGUUUGCAGGUACCAUACGAAUAAGGACCGGCUAAUUCCGUGCCAGCAGCCGCGGUAAUACGGAAGGUCCGGGCGUUAUCCGGAUUUAUUGGGUUUAAAGGGAGCGUAGGCUGGAGAUUAAGUGUGUUGUGAAAUGUAGACGCUCAACGUCUGACUUGCAGCGCAUACUGGUUUCCUUGAGUACGCACAACGUUGGCGGAAUUCGUCGUGUAGCGGUGAAAUGCUUAGAUAUGACGAAGAACUCCGAUUGCGAAGGCAGCUGACGGGAGCGCAACUGACGCUGAAGCUCGAAGGUGCGGGUAUCGAACAGGAUUAGAUACCCUGGUAGUCCGCACAGUAAACGAUGGAUGCCCGCUGUUGGUACCUGGUAUCAGCGGCUAAGCGAAAGCAUUAAGCAUCCCACCUGGGGAGUACGCCGGCAACGGUGAAACUCAAAGGAAUUGACGGC
rnacentral:rRNA from 1 species